rnacentral:rRNA from 1 species
UACGUAGGGGGCGAGCGUUGUCCGGAAUCAUUGGGCGUAAAGCGCGUGUAGGCGGCCCGGUAAGUCCGCUGUGAAAGUCCAGGGCUCAACCCUGGGAUGCGGAUGGAUACUGUCGAGCUCGAGUCCGGAAGAGGCGAGUGGAAUUCCUGGUGUAGCGGUGAAAUGCGCAGAUAGCAGGAGGAACACCAAUGGCGAAGGCAGCUCGCUGGGACGUGACUGACGCUGAGACGCGAAAGCGUGGGGAGCAAACAGG